rnacentral:rRNA from 1 species
GUGAGGAAUAUUGGUCAAUGGGCGCAAGCCUGAACCAGCCAUGCCGCGUGCAGGAAGACGGUCCUAUGGAUUGUAAACUGCUUUUAUUUGGGAAUAAACUCCGGUACGUGUACCGGCCUGAAGGUACCAAAUGAAUAAGCACCGGCUAACUCCGUGCCAGCAGCCGCGGUAAUACGGAGGGUGCAAGCGUUAUCCGGAAUCAUUGGGUUUAAAGGGUCCGCAGGCGGUCUUAUAAGUCAGUGGUGAAAGCCUACAGCUCAACUGUAGAGCUGCCAUUGAUACUGUAGGACUUGAAUUCGAUCGAAGUGGGCGGAAUGUGACAUGUAGCGGUGAAAUGCUUAGAUAUGUCACAGAACACCGAUAGCGAAGGCAGCUCACUAGGUCUGGAUUGACGCUCAGGGACGAAAGCGUGGGGAGCAAACAGGAUUAGAAACCCGGGUAGUCC